UGGGACCCCAGCUGCAGGAGGCCGGGCUUGGGACUCAUUAGAGCUUCACUGUCCCAGACACUGUGAAACCCUCUGGGAGUCUGGGUCCGCCACAGGAUAGACAUUGCCUGUUCUUACCCGGGAAAGAGGAGCAGAGGCUGGCAGGGGACAGCAGUGAACUGGAUGCCUACUGAAGUAGACACCAGAACUGCCUGUGGCCCAGCGGAGCCUCCCCGCAGGGUAGGACAGGUGCCCACGCCUGCAGCCUGCAGCCAGCGGGCGACCGACACGUAAGCCCCGCCCCCCUGGCCCCCAGCUGUUGCCUCAUGGAGGCAGGAUGGCUACUCCAGGUGCCUGCAUCACAUCCACAGGUGAGACUGAAAGAGGCCAGGGAAGGAUGGCACCAGCCUCGUCUCCUUCUACAGGAGCAGAAGUUUUCCCAGAAGUCCCUGAGCAGAUUUCCCCUCAUAUCGCAUUACCCAGAACUGGGUUAAUGGGUUUAGCUUCAAGCGAGAUUAAAAAACA